GACGAACGCUGGCGGCGUGCUUAACACAUGCGAGUCGAACGGAAAGGCCCUGCUUUUGUGGGGUGCUCGAGUGGCGAACGGGUGAGUAACACGUGAGUAACCUGCCCUUGACUUUGGGAUAACUUCAGGAAACUGGGGCUAAUACCGGAUAGGAGCUCCUGCUGCAUGGUGGGGGUUGGAAAGUUUCGGCGGUUGGGGAUGGACUCGCGGCUUAUCAGCUUGUUGGUGGGGUAGUGGCUUACCAAGGCUUUGACGGGUAGCCGGCCUGAGAGGGUGAGCGGCCACAUUGGGACGGAGAUACGGCCCAGACUCCUACGGGAGGCAGAAGUGGGGAAUAUUGCACAAUGGGCGGAAGCCUGAUGCAGCAACGCCGCGUGCGGGAUGACGGCCUUCGGGUUGUAAACCGCUUUCGCCUGUGACGAAGCGUGAGUGACGGUAAUGGGUAAAGAAGCACCGGCUAACUACGUA
rnacentral:rRNA from 1 species